AAUAGACGACGCCGUUGACUUUUUCUCAUAUAUUUGACCAUUCGUCUUAUUCAAAAAAUUUACGUAAUUAUAAUUUAUUUUCUUAUGAGUUGUUUUAUCAUUCAUAGUACUUUAAGUGUGAUUUAUAUCUUAUACAUUUGCAUAAAAUUUUUAAAUAAGACGAAUGGUCAAACAUAUGAGAAAAAGUCAACGGCACCAUCUAUU
rnacentral:pre_miRNA from 1 species